UUCUCGCCCUGCCGGAUGAACGGCGGCCUGGCUCCUCCUCUCCCUCCUGGACCAUUUGGUUUCCAGCCCCUUCCCACGGAACCCGGAGAUUAAAGCCAUGCUGCUUCUGGCUGGACAGAGAUGGAGCUGUAUCCUAGGGGCAGCGAAGGCCCCGCGGACCUAGUGGACAGCACCGUGGAGCUAGAAUAAACUGAAACCGUGAGGAAACUCCCGGGGAAAAUUAAAACCCCAAAAGGUACCCACACCUGUACCCCUUCCGGGCUUCCCGUAGGCCUGGCUGGGACGGCUCUCAGAAGGGACGCAGAGAACCUGGAGGAGAAAGCCCAGUGUGACUUCGCCUUUGGGCCGGGCCGGGAGAUCUCCGGCCGGGAGAGAGUGGGAUUGAUGCGGUGCCCACCAUCGCCCCAGGACCAGGAGAGAUCUUGCGGAAGGGCUGGACAUCCCUAGAAGACAAGGCAGGAUCGUUGUCAAAACUAUAAUGGCACCAGGGCCGAAGCUAUGCUAAGUGCUUCUUGGGAGAAAGCUCUGGCAACCGUUAGGAAAAAAUACUCCAUCACCUCACCCCCCCACAAGGGGCUGUUUUUCUGAGCAAAAAGGCUAUUUCACAGUUUGGAUUCAUGAUUUCUUUUUGUGACCCUGAGAGGUCUUACUCGUUUUGUUCUACAACUCUAUUACCUUUCGGUAUGCUUCCACCGAGCUCACUGCAAACCUGGAAUUCCAGCUCGCCGUUCUCCGCGGAGCUUAAACAGGAAGGCUGCCGACAGCCCCGGAAUGAAGAUGGUUCUUCCGGGACCUUGCAGGCACUCUGAAUACUGAAGGUCAGCGGACACACUGAGAGGAAAAAUAAAACGAUUUUGGUCCAUUACGGGGUAGUUGCAUUUAGGGAAACGGUGAGAAAAAAGAGCUUGGAACGGAACGAAACAAAGAAAAGAGAGACAGUGCCACAUCUCCUCCUGGAGGACCAGAGAAGUGAAGUGACUCGUCCAAGGUCACACCACGUGCAAGUAGCAGUGCCAGGAUUAGAACACAGGUCUGAUUCGUCCAGUAGAGUAGGUAUAUCCUGCUUCCAUGAUGCCCGAGGCUAUAAGACCCAUUGACUUUUUGAUUUUAAACAAGCCUGCAACCAGCCUUCUAUUGUCCUAUCUCCAGACCGUAAGCUCGGUGUGGGUAGGGAACAUGUCUACCGCCUCUGUUGCUCCUCCAUUCCUUCCCGUGACAGUUGUAGUUUCAGCCUCUCCCUCUCUAGCCGACCUCCCCUCCUCUCCCAUCCUGGAGGAGAAAUUCCUCCAGGAAAGAGA